GGGAAUGUGGCUUAGUGGUAGAGUGCUUGCCUAACAUGCAUGAAGCCCUGGGUUCAAUUCCUCAGUACCG
rnacentral:tRNA from 1 species